CGACGGANGGCCUCUUCGGAGGUACUCGAGUGGCGAACGGGUGAGUAACACGUGGGUAAUCUGCCCUGCACUUCGGGAUAAGCCUGGGAAACUGGGUCUAAUACCGGAUAGGACCUUUUGGCGCAUGCCUUUUGGUGGAAAGCUUUUGCGGUGUGGGAUGGGCCCGCGGCCUAUCAGCUUGUUGGUGGGGUGACGGCCUACCAAGGCGACGACGGGUAGCCGGCCUGAGAGGGUGUCCGGCCACACUGGGACUGAGAUACGGCCCAGACUCCUACGGGAGGCAGCAGUGGGGAAUAUUGCACAAUGGGCGCAAGCCUGAUGCAGCGACGCCGCGUGGGGGAUGACGGCCUUCGGGUUGUAAACCUCUUUCAGCAGGGACGAAGCGCAAGUGACGGUACCUGCAGAAGAAGCACCGGCCAACUACGUGCCAGCAGCCGCGGUAAUACGUAGGGUGCGAGCGUUGUCCGGAAUUACUGGGCGUAAAGAGCUCGUAGGUGGUUUGUCGCGUUGUUCGUGAAAACCGGGGGCUUAACCCUCGGCGUGCGGGCGAUACGGGCAGACUGGAGUACUGCAGGGGAGACUGGAAUUCCUGGUGUAGCGGUGGAAUGCGCAGAUAUCAGGAGGAACACCGGUGGCGAAGGCGGGUCUCUGGGCAGUAACUGACGCUGAGGAGCGAAAGCGUGGGGAGCGAACAGGAUUAGAUACCCUGGUAGUCCACGCCGUAAACGGUGGGUACUAGGUGUGGGUUUCCUUCCUUGGAAUCCGUGCCGUAGCUAACGCAUUAAGUACCCCGCCUGGGGAGUACGGCCGCAAGGCUAAAACUCAAAGGAAUUGACGGGGGCCCGCACAAGCGGCGGAGCAUGUGGAUUAAUUCGAUGCAACGCGAAGAACCUUACCUGGGUUUGACAUGCACAGGACGCCGGCAGAGAUGUCGGUUCCCUUGUGGCCUGUGUGCAGGUGGUGCAUGGCUGUCGUCAGCUCGUGUCGUGAGAUGUUGGGUUAAGUCCCGCAACGAGCGCAACCCUUGUCUCAUGUUGCCAGCGGGUAAUGCCGGGGACUCGUGAGAGACUGCCGGGGUCAACUCGGAGGAAGGUGGGGAUGACGUCAAGUCAUCAUGCCCCUUAUGUCCAGGGCUUCACACAUGCUACAAUGGCCGGUACAAAGGGCUGCGAUGCCGUAAGGUUAAGCGAAUCYUUUUAAASCCGGUCUCAGUUCGGAUCGGGGUCUGCAACUCGACCCCGUGAAGUCGGAGUCGCUAGUAAUCGCAGAUCAGCAACGCUGCGGUGAAUACGUUCCCGGGCCUUGUACACACCGCCCGUCASGUCAUGAAAGUCGGUAACACCCGAAGCCANUGGCCUA
rnacentral:rRNA from 1 species